CUGAAACACCAAAGUCCUCCGUGGAAGUUAAUGAAUUUCUUGAAAUAAGGUGGCCAAGGAGGCAGAGAUGGAGUCAGGGACUCUGUGAUCAACCCUGAGGAUUGGGAAGGAACUAUACAUACCAGGAGGCAAGGAGCACUGGGGGCCCUCCUGGAACUGCCUGUCACAGCGUCCUCAAAGAUCCAGAGAGCUGUUCGUCUUUGAGUAGGAACAUACAGAAAAGACG
rnacentral:lncRNA from 1 species